UGGUAACCUCUGGAAUAAUACUCCACUUACCUUCAAAGACCUGCCGUUCAUAGUGAAGGGACAGUUUAUAGUCAGGGCAAACGUUAGAGAAUUAGGGGAGCCAGUGGCAUGCUUAGAAAUGACCAUUUGCUUGAAUGACUGUAAUCUGUGAACAAACGAAGGCAGCACGGAAUAUCAUCUACUUUGAAUAAGCAAGAUAACUUUCGUCGACGAGUUUGUUUAAUUGAACUGAUAAGGCUCAGAUAAACAGACUUUGUAAAAACAUUGGCAUAUACGUUUGCGUCAACAUACUAAUAAACAAACUAAUCAGAUCAUUUCCAGUUUGAUUUAAGUCUGUUGUGUGAACAUAGAAACAAUAUCGUUACACUUCAUCGUUAAGUCAGUGCACAAUAUAUUUAAGAGCCUAGUUAAGGCAAUUGCUACAUCAGCUGGUGUAAACAUGCAGUACAUUAAGAUAAUCAUUUUUCUUUUGAACCAGAUUUAAAUAAUUGUAGAUUGCGAUAAGAUCAGCAAGUCGACAUGAUAGCUCAUGCUCAAUACCAGGCUUUACUGGUCGAAGCCCAAACUCGACUUAUUGUUCGUGUAUAGGUAAAAUGAUAUCAUUUGAAUCUUGUUUGUGUUUAUUAAGCUAUUAUAGUAAUUUGUCAGAUGCAGGGACACUGGAAAAAAAAGAAACUGCUUUUUAUGGGCAAAUACUAAAUACAUAUAUAAGACGGUUUGUCCAGGGGAUCUAGACAUGAUCCAUUCUAUUGGUUAUCCGAUUUAGAAAGGUUUCCAUUUAAUUGUCCUUUACAUAACUUAUAUCUUCUGCUUCCUUUUAUCAAUCUUUUUUAAGCAUAAAUACAAAUCUCAAUAAAUUUGAAAGCAA